rnacentral:tRNA from 1 species
UCCCUGGUGGUCCAGUGUUUAAGACGAUUGCUUCUAAUGCAGAGGAUGCAGGUUUGAUCCCUGGUCAGAGAA